AGCUCCAGUAGCGUAUAUUAACGUUGUUGCAGUUAAAAAGCUCGUAGUUGGAUUUCUGGCUUGAUGAACUCGGUCCCGUCCGUUCGGACGUGAGUACUGGCGUUGAUCUGCCAUCCUUCUGGAGAACGGCUCUGCCCUUGAUUGGGUUGGGGUCGCCAUCUAGAUCUUUUACUUUGAAAAAAUUAGAGUGUUUAAAGCAGGCGUUGCAUUGAAUACAUUAGCAUGGAAUAAUAAUAUAGGACUUCGGUCUCUAUUUUGUUGGUUUCUAGAACUGAAGUAAUGAUUGAUAGGGAUAGUUGGGGGUGCUAGUAUUCAGCGGCCAGAGGUGAAAUUCUUGGAUUCGCUGAAGACUAACUUAUGCGAAAGCAUUCACCAAGGAUGUCUUCUUUAAUCAAGAACG
rnacentral:rRNA from 1 species